CGGAUCUCCUUGUUCAUCUUCUUCCUGGAAGAGAAGUACCUGGCAACUUCCUUUUCCAGACCAAGCUCUCCUCCCCUUCUCCUCCGAAGGGCAGAUUGAAGGUCUUGCAAGUGUUCCUUCAUCAGGGACAGGGCGUCUCUGGUGCUACCACAUGCAUCCACAAGCCUCAGAGAUGCAUUCGACACAUCUUCUACCCAUAAGUCGUGUCGACCAUGGGAUAAGGCUUUUUGGAUGUGCGGCAACUGAGUCAAUUCGUCGAUGCAAUCGUAUAAAUCUGUGAGGCAACCCAAGUUCUGAUGCAGUGAAGAUGAGGAACAAGAGGAGGUGGCUUCUGAAGAAGACCUUAAUCUGCACAAUUGCUUCUCAACUCUUUGGGUGAGUGGGUGAGAUCGAGAGGGUAAGCUGAUGCAUCUAGCGUGCUUUGAGCUUGUAGUUGCAGAAGAGACGGCCAUUUUAGUUUCUUCCUUUCUCGCAAGAAAAAGAUAUGCACAAGGAAGUCUAGCACCCAAACCGUUAUUGAGUCCGAAUGAUAUCUCUAUUGGCCUCUCCUGUAUAUAUAUGUGCAUUGAUGCAAGGAAGAGAGGGAGACACGAGGAAUCUCUCCUCCUGCCACUUCAAGUCUCCUUCUUCUAGUCAUGUGCUUUCGCUUUGGAUCUGAGCUGCCAUGAUUCUUUCGGUCGGAGGGGUAAUAUAUGCAAGAAACAUUGCUACGACAUCAGGAAGUUCUACCACCACCGAUUCAGAACAAGAUUCUUUGUGUCUCUUCCUUGUUCUCAUCUAUAUAUCAGAUGCAUCUUUGGGACUUGGGAGUCCCUUCUCUUUAGGAUGAGUUAUGUUUCUCGGUGCUCGGUUUCUUCUACAAUGGGGAACAUGGCUGCCUCUGCUGCAAACUGUACAAUUUGUUUGUCAUGCUUCCUCUCUUAAGCUGUCCUCUAUUCUAUAUCUCAUCCUUGAAUGCCUCCAUGGAAGGGCAUUAGUUGUUUCUUUUGGUAGAAAAAGGGCAGUAGUUGCAGUUCGGGGAUUUAGAAGCCACUUCAUCAUAUUCAUCAGCGACGCAAUGGAUUUAAUGGAUGCCGUUGAAGAAUUGUGUGAUCAUGUUGAUGAUUUUCAUCGUCUACAGCUUGGCCAAGAAGUUUCACUCAGUAAUGACAUGAAAAAGGCAUAGUAGAUUUGGGCUGAGCUGGAUGUACCCUGUUUUUGGAUGUUUUUCCUUGCAAGUGACAUCUACUUACCAACCUAGGAUUGUUUUCUGUAUCUGCAAUUGCCAUUCUGGAAAUUAAGCAGGGAAGUUGGUAUAUAUUGGAGUAUAACUGUAUAAGCAUAGUUUCCCCUCUAGCUUGUGACAACAAAGUUAAUGCAACCUAGAGAAACAGGCAGGCAAUGGGAGCAGGUGGAGGGAAGAUAUCAUUGGGAAAGAGAACCUAGGUCUUGCAUGGAGGUCAUGCAUAUGGGGGAUGAAUUGGUUAUUUGGUUGUGAGUUAGAAUGUGAAAAGACGAGUCAAAUGUCUGGGAUCUUAAGGAUGGAUUGACUGUAUGUUAGCUAUUCGAUAAGAAUGAAUUGCCCACUCAACUUCCUCAAUGGAUUGCAAAUGAGUGCUCAGAUGAUCCGAGGUGAUAGUUCUGAAACAUGGUGACUGAUUUGGCUGCAAAAAGGGUGUCUGCAUAUUCCUCCGUUCAUCCCCUUUCCAUUUGGCAAGUUCUUUCCUAAUAGCUGCCUUCCACUUCUCCAUGUGUUGUUUUUGAAUAAUAGGAAUAUUCGAGAGCUGCUAUUUGUGGCUAAAGUGCAAAACCAGAGGGUUGCCCAUAAUUUUGACGGUUUGGAUUUGCCACUUUCAACCCACUAUGUGGAAGAAAACUCCACACUUCAGGCUUUAAAAUGCACAGCAUCAUAAAAGGACUCUCUGUUGAUCGACCCACAAAGCCAUUUUUGGUUGGUGAUCUCUUCGAUCUGCUAGGUCUUAGCUUAGUUGGCACCCAAACUUCAUGGACAUGUUGCCAUGUCAUUCUACUCGAGUGGCAACUUUAAGCACAAUGUAGUUUGCUUCACAGUAUAAUAGAGGUUCCUUUCCUAGACUGAUUUUGACCAGAAACAAAUCCAUCUAUUGAUUACCGAAGUUUAUAGAAGAAAAGUCAAUUAUAUGGUAGACCAUGAAGUUUACCACCCAGUUAGAAUGGCAAAAAUGAUUCCCCCUUGUCGUUCAAAUCACAUUAGUUGAUCACAUAGCAUUGCUUAAUGGCCCCUCCCGCAUUGCUUUGGAAAAAUAAAUCUCAAUUUAGCUUUAGCAUGAUUUGUGAUCUUUGUUCUUCUUUCUAACAUGUAAACAGUGUGUGUAUUAUUAGUUCGUGAUAUCCUGCUUAUGAUGCCAGUCAGUAAGACAGCAUGCAAUGUCACAUAAUUCAGAAUUUGAUGGCACCAGAUGAAAUCAAGUGUAAGUGAUUAUUACAUGAUAUCCUACUGAUGAUGCCAGUCAGUAACCCUGAGUUUAAUGUUACUUCAUAAUUUCAGAAUUAGAUGGCAUCAGCCAAGACCAAUUUGUGCUUAUUAUUUUCCAUAUUUCUCCCUUUGCAAAAAUCUCCCUGAUGUGCUUUUUGUUGUGAAACUUAUUGGUGACAUGUGACCGCCGAUUUGUUGAAGCAUUAUCAAUGUAAAAUAUUAAAAGAGGAAGUGUCAUGAAGCCACUAGAUCUAUUAGUGUUACCUAGUUUUCCUUCAUUUUAGACAAAAUGUAGCUGGAGUCCCUGAGAUAUUAAGCCGAUCAUUGAAACACUGAUAGCAGCUGACAAAUUUAUCAUCAUAAAAUGUAAUUAUACCACUUAAAUUAUUUGACUCU